rnacentral:lncRNA from 1 species
CCGUUACCGCGCCGCCCCUCAGCGCCUCUUAUUUUUUUCCUGUGAAAAAUAAACAUUUUGGAUCGUUGUCCGGCGAUGUUUUCUUCGCCUCAGCCACCGCACAGCGCCCGGAGAGUGUCGGGGACAUCAAGCUACCGUCUGUGCCUGGUAGAAACCUCUUCCAUGGGUGCAGUAAUUCUGGAGAGCUGCUGCUGUUCGAUGGAGGAUUCUUGCAGCAUCAUCCAGAGCCCGACCUUUACCCUCAGUUCUCCAGCGUGGUGUGAAGAUCUAGGAGCAGCCUGGACUGGGGCCGAAACCUCUGUUUUGCAUCCAGUAACCAGUCUGGCUUUUGGUCUUGCCCUGCAUCAACCAGCUUUUUAACUUCACUUCUUCUCAUAAUUAGUGAUUAAUUUUUUGUUCUGCCAGUACCCAGAUGAGUGUGAUUCUCUAAUCUCCAUGAAACAGCAGUAACAACUACCUGGAGAAUGGCAUGGAAGAACACACUUAGGCCUUUCAGUGCCUUUUCCUUGCUGUUCAGCACCAAACUGCAGCAGAUCUUACAGCCAAAAUAGUUAAGGGAGAGACAGAGAAGAGACACUAAAGAAAGAAGAAAUGCUAUAGGAACUCUUUUGGCAGGAAGACUUUUCUCUGCCGUCUCCACAUUCUGCCCUAAGCUUAUUUUUAAAUACAAGGCAAUUUCCCCUUGGUUGGGCUAGCUGUCUGCACACAAUUACACUUCUCUAUUAUUAGUGAGAGUGAACAGUGCUGAGUUUACAACUGUGCAGAAGAGAUAAGCUCAAGAUGACUGUGGUUCCUCUCUAAGGGGCUGUCGAGCUGUGUUCAGCUCUGCAUCUGGGACACUGCUGUCCUGAAACGGGGAGGAAUCCUUCUCCUCUGAACAGGGGAUGCCCAAAAAGAGCAGGCUGGGUGAGUUUCUACUAAUGGAAGAUUAGACAGAGAAUCUCUCACAUGAUUUUACCCUCUUCAUCAAGGACACUGGAGUCACUGGAGUUUC